rnacentral:misc_RNA from 1 species
GUAGGUGAACCUGCGGAAGGAUCAUUACAAAAACAAAAUCCAAACCACACCACUGUGCUCUUUAUUGUGAGAAAAAUGUCUUUGUGUGUUGCUGUGUUGUUUGUUGGGGGAGAGGAGAAGAAUUUAUUUUUCCCCUUUCUUUCCUUCACACACACACACACACAAGCUUUUCCUCACAUGUCUUUGUUUUCAAUUUUUCAUUACUCCUUGUUUAACCAACAACGGAUUACAAUGUUAAAACUUGAAACAAACAAACAAAACAAAAUGACAACUUUUAACGGUGGAUCUCUUGGCUCGU